ensembl:lncRNA
CAGCAGCCCUCUAGAUUUCCCCUCUCUUUUGUUUAUUUGUCCCAUGUCCUUUGACACAUUUUGUCAUCUUAAUGUCUGCAGAGAGAACUAACUUAAUGUCUGUGUACCAUCUGCUGGAGCAGUGGGAUAAUAACAGAGCAGAUAUCUAGAUAUCAGUAUCUAGAUACUAUUCACCACAUCAGUGAAUGCUGAGGAAAACAGGAAGCUUGCACAGAGAGAGAAGGACUUUGAGAUCUUCAUCUUCAGACAAUCUUGUGUGCCCUCUUGCCUUUGGUCCCCUCAUAUACAAUGUGGUCAUUUUGAUAUGACUGAAGUCACAGAACUGCUGAUCAUCCCAACAGCAAGCCAAGCAGAAUGUUCAUUGGAAUGUUCAAGACUGGAAUAAGGAUGGUGAAAAUGUCAGCAGCACCAUACAAGUAAUAUUAUUGUCCACGGCAAUGACAUGAGGGAGAGAAAUUAAUAUACUUGUGAUUUAUUUCAUCUCCUGCACACAAUUUCUUUUCUCUGUGAUUUGUCUGCAUAAACCACAGGUUCCGGGGUAUUCUUAUUCUCAUCUAGAUAUGCAUAAGCUCGUUUGUUGGAGAGGAUAUAAAAGCAUGAAAACGUCCAACUUUUUCCCGUUAGCCAUAAAUAGAGGCAAUACUGUCUAGGUUUUAUCUGAAGUUUGAUG